GAUGAACGCUGGCGGCGUGCCUAACACAUGCAAGUCGAACGGAGAUUACGGACGGAAGUUUUCGGAUGGAAGACUGUAAUUCUUAGUGGCGGACGGGUGAGUAACGCGUGGGCAACCUGCCCUAUACAGGGGGAUAGCAGCUGGAAACGGCUGGUAAGACCGCAUAAGUCGGCGAGACCGCAUGGUUUUUCCGGGAAAUGAGCAAUCAGGUAUAGGAUGGGCCCGCGUCCGAUUAGCCAGUUGGCAGGGUAAAAGCCUACCAAAGCAACGAUCGGUAGCCGGACUGAGGGGUCGGACGGCCACAUUGGGACUGAGACACGGCCCAAACUCCUACGGGAGGCAGCAGUGGGGGAUAUUGCACAAUGGAGGAAACUCUGAUGCAGCGACGCCGCGUGAGUGAAGAAGUAUUUCGGUAUGUAAAGCUCUAUCAGCAGGGAAGAUGAUGACGGUACCUGACUAAGAAGCCCCGGCUAACUACGUG
rnacentral:rRNA from 1 species